UCUCUCUCUCUCCCCUUCAAUUUCUUAUUUUAACACCGCACCCAAUCCCUUAAUUGUUUCUCUUCCGAAUCCAUAAGCUGCUAUAUUUUCUUAUGAGCUCUACUAAUUAAUUAAGAAAAUUGCUAAUUCUAGGGUUUGAAUACAUAAUCAACAAUUGAACUUUCUUUGAUGUUCGAUUGCUGGUUUUUAAGCUAAGCUCUUUGGGCCAUUUCGCUUUGUUUUCUUCAUUCAUCGCUUCUUGUUGUCAAAUUAACAUUUUAUUUUUGUGUGUGUGCUCUUCUUAUGUGUUAGGUUAAAGCUGCAUACAGAAAGAAAGUAUGGGAAUCUCAUCCUGACCUCUUUCCUCUUUAUGAAAAGCCCGGUGCCGAGUCAAAGUUCAAGUUGAUUUCAGAAGUACACUUACUUGCAGACUGGGUUAUCUGAAAGAGCCAUUUUAUGGUUU